UACGGAGGGUGCAAGCGUUAAUCGGAAUUACUGGGCGUAAAGGGUGCGUAGGUGGUCUGAUAAGUUAUCUGUGAAAUCCCUGGGCUCAACCUGGGCAGGUCAGAUAAUACUGUUAGACUCGAGUAUGGGAGAGGGUAGCGGAAUUUCCGGUGUAGCGGUGAAAUGCGUAGAGAUCGGAAGGAACACCAGUGGCGAAGGCGGCUACCUGGCCUAAUACUGACACUGAGGCACGAAAGCGUGGGGAGCAAACAGG
rnacentral:rRNA from 1 species